CCGAGCCGAGCCGAGCCGAGCCGAGCCGGGGCUGCCUGAAGGCCGCUGUCGUGCCGGGUGGGUGGGACGUCGCGAUUCCCCCGCGUGCUGGGGGGUCAAACAGGCGGAGGGUGGAGGCUGCCGGUUUGAGAGGCUGUGCUGAAGAGCGAGCGCCGUCCGUCGGCGGGAAGAGUGGCUCCCGCCUACUGCCGCGGAAAGGUGCUGGGAAAGAUGAGGCCGGUGGUGUGCCACUUACGUUGAAUUUGUUCCAUUGAAUGUAAUCAGACUCCAGGGUUGAAAACAAGAGGAAAGUAAUUAGACAGACUUUACAGCCAGGCUCUGUGUUGAGCCAGUGAGACUCAAAAGAAUUAAGAAUUGGAGUUUGGCUCUACACAUCAUCACCCUGGCCUCUUCUACUAUGAUCUUCAAUAAGUGAGAGCAUUAUUAUUAUUAACUGUAGUGGUAGUUCAGUGCAUUAUAUAGAUUCUACUAGUCAGUACGUCUCCUCUAGAUCUUCUGUGCUGAUGUGUAUUUCUUCUCUCUCACAAAGCUAAACAGACUAUCUUGAUUUAAUUUUUUUCUAGUUAAGCUACUUAGUUCACUGCUUAGCAACUGCUGAAAUCUAUUGCUAAGGCUGUGUCUCUUCUUCCAUUUGGAAUUCAGACUCUUCAUCUUAAUUUCCUAGGCUUUUUGUAAAAGGCCUAUAUCCCCACUUCGGUGCAUUGUAUAUUGCCAUUUUAAUCUCUACAGUUUGGGCUAGGAUAGAAACAAAUAAAGAUUUGCUUCGCUUACACUGUAUAACUGAGUAGUGAAGGACCUAACCUGGUAUUUCUGCCCUUAUUUUCUGC